rnacentral:rRNA from 1 species
GACGAACGCUGGCGGCGUGCUUAACACAUGCAAGUCGAACGGAAAGGCCCUGCUUUUGUGGUGUGCUCGAGUGGCGAACGGGUGAGUAACACGUGAGUAACCUGCCCUUGACUUUGGGAUAACUUCAGGAAACUGGGGCUAAUACCGGAUAGGAGCUCCUGCUGCAUGGUGGGGGUUGGAAAGUUUCGGCGGUUGGGGAUGGACUCGCGGCUUAUCAGCUUGUUGGUGGGGUAGUGGCUUACCAAGGCUUUGACGGGUAGCCGGCCUGAGAGGGUGACCGGCGACAUUGGGACUGAGAGACGGCCCAGACUGCUACGGGAGGCAGCAGUGGGGAAUAUUGCACAAUGGGCGGAAGCCUGAUGCAGAAACGCCGCGUGCGGGAUGACGGCCUUCGGGUUGUAAACCGCUUUCGCCUGUGACGAAGCGUGAGUGACGGUAAUGGGUAAAGAAGCACCGGCUAACUACGUG